GAUUAACGCUGGCGGCGUGCAUAACACAUGCAAGUCGAACGAUGAAACUCAUUUGAUUUCUUCGGAAUGAAAAUGAAUGGAUUAGUGGCGAACGGGUGAGUAACGCGUGAGUAACCUGCCUUACACAAGGGGAUAGCCUUUGGAAACGAAGAAUAAUACCCUAUAAAACCAUAAAAGCACAUGCAAUUAUGGUCAAAGUAUUAGCGGUGUAAGAUGGACUUGCGUCUGAUUAGCUAGUUGGUGAGAUAAAAGCCCACCAAGGCAACGAUCAGUAGCCGGCUUGAGAGAGUGUACGGCCACAUUGGGACUGAGACACGGCCCAGACUCCUACGGGAGGCAGCAGUGGGGAAUUUUGCACAAUGGGGGAAACCCUGAUGCAGCGACGCCGCGUGAUUUAGAAGGCCUUCGGGUUGUAAAAAUCUUUUGUAUAGGAAGAAAAUGACAGUACUAUACGAAUAAGGUCCGGCUAAUUACGUGCCAGCAGCCGCGGUAAUACGUAAGGACCGAGCGUUGUCCGGAAUCAUUGGGCGUAAAGGGUACGUAGGCGGCUAGAAAAGUUAGAAGUCAAAGGCUAUAGCUCAACUAUAGUAAGCUUCUAAACUAUUUAGCUUGAGAGAUGGAAGGGAAAGUGGAAUUCCUAGUGUAGCGGUGGAAUGCGCAGAUAUUAGGAGGAAUACCGGUGGCGAAGGCGACUUUCUGGCCAUUUUCUGACGCUGAGGUACGAAAGCGUGGGUAGCAAACAGGAUUAGAUACCCUGGUAGUCCACGCCGUAAACGAUGAGUGUUAGGUGUCUGGAGUCAAAUCUGGGUGCCGCAGCAAACGCAUUAAACACUCCGCCUGGGGAGUACGCACGCAAGUGUGAAACUCAAAGGAAUUGACGGGGACCCGCACAAGCAGCGGAGCAUGUGGUUUAAUUCGACGCAACGCGAAGAACCUUACCAAGUCUUGACAUAUUUUAGAAUCAAUUAGAGAUAAUUGCCUAUAUCUUCGGAUAACUAAAAUACAGGUGGUGCAUGGUUGUCGUCAGCUCGUGUCGUGAGAUGUUGGGUUAAGUCCCAUAACGAGCGCAACCCCUAUUGCUAGUUACCAUCAUUAAGUUGGGGACUCUAGUAAUACUGCCGGUGACAAACCGGAGGAAGGUGGGGAUGACGUCAAAUCAUCAUGCCCUUUAUGACUUGGGCUACACACGUGCUACAAUGGCAGGUACACAGGGAAGCAAGACUGUGAAGUUAAGCAAAACUCAAAAAGCCUGUCCCAGUUCGGAUUGCACUCUGCAACUCGAGUGCAUGAAGUUGGAGUUGCUAGUAAUCGCAGAUCAGAAUGCUGCGGUGAAAGCGUUCCCGGGUCU
rnacentral:rRNA from 1 species